UGGGGAAUUUUCCGCAAUGGGCGAAAGCCUGACGGAGUGACGCCGCGUGGGGGACGAAGGCCUUCGGGUCGUAAACCCCUGUCAGAGGGAAAGAAGGGUCGCCGACCUAAUACGUCGGUGAUCUGACGGUACCUUCAGAGGAAGCCCCGGCCAACUCUGUGCCAGCAGCCGCGGUAAGACAGAGGGGGCAAGCGUUGCUCGGAAUCACUGGGCGUAAAGGGCGCGUAGGCGGGAUGGCAAGUCGGUCGUGAAAUCCGUCGGCCCAACCGAAGAACGUCGGCCGAUACUGCCGUUCUUGAGGGAUGCAGAGGAGACUGGAAUUCCCGGUGUAGCGGUGAAAUGUGUAGAGAUCGGGAGGAACACCGGUGGCGAAGGCGGGUCUCUGGGCAUUUCCUGACGCUGAGGCGCGAAAGCGUGGGGAGCAAACGGGAUUAGAUACCCCGGUAGUCCACGCUGUAAACGAUGACGACUAGGUGUGGGGUGGGUUAGUCCAUUCCGUGCCGCAGCUAACGCAUUAAGUCGUCCGCCUGGGGAGUACGGCCGCAAGGUUGA
rnacentral:rRNA from 1 species